CAUGCACGACAUCUCCGUCCUACUACAGCGGAAAAACCGCAGUAACUCCUCAUCGGUCAGAAAAUCCAACGGGUCCAUUGGCGCAGAUGCAACUGCAACUCUUCAAUACAGUUUUCUUUGUCGAAACAAAAUCCAAUAUUUACCAGGCCCCGGGCGGAUUGAUUCAUUCAGACGAAUGCACAUACCGAUAGACGCGCGUUCGGAAGAAGGACGUAGAGGACGUAAUGAAAACGUUUUCAACUGAAGGACAUUUAACUUCACCAGACUUUAAAAGAAGAAAAAGUGCACAGGCCAAGAGAGCACGCUUUCCCUUCAACCAAUCAGCGGGCUCAAUUACAGAAUCUGAGGAGGAUGAUGAGGAGGAAGAGGAGGGAGAAGAAGCUGAGCAGGAAAGAGAAGAAGAGAGAAGAGAUCAGGCAAACACUGCUGGAGAGAGCAGUACAGGAGGCAGCCAUUGUGGUGUGAAGAAGUCUGUUUUCAAAGUCACCUGUGGAGCCAUCAAUGGAAUGCUACAUAAGGAUCGGUUUGCAUCAGGGUCAUGUGGAAAGAGCAUCCGUACGGAGCUGCGCUGGAUGACCCCGGUGGAGUUUGUGAAGGGGGAGUCAGCUCUGGAAGAUCCCUCCUGGAAGAACGACAUCCAGUGGGACGGGAAACCACUCAGCCUCCUCAUCAAGCAUGAUCAGGAUAACGAUGACGACUGCUUCAUCUGUAGAAGCCAGGGUAGCUUGAUAUGCUGUGAUGAGUGUCCUCGCUCCUUCCAUCAGAGAUGUCAUCUUCCUAUUGUAGAUGACGCUAUGCUGGGGUGAGAAGAGUUGAGGGUUGAUGAGAGACAGUGUGAGAGAAAGAGAUUGAUACAAGAGAGGUAUGUUUGUUCUGUGUUGGUAAACUUAGCUGUCAGAUUAUUUGUGCACUAUUGAAAUGUUGUGUGUGUGUGUAAAUAAUCACAGGGAUGAUCGUCCGUGGUUGUGUACAUUCUGUGUACUGAGGGCCAGUCAGUCGUGGCACUACCCCAAACAAAUGACCUACCAGGAAGCCUUGACCUGCCGAAUCUCUGACCACCCACUGGAAUGCCAGUACCUCCUGCUGUGUCUCUACCAUGCAGAUGACGACCACA